rnacentral:rRNA from 1 species
UGGCUCAGGACGAACGCUGGCGGCGUGCCUAAUACAUGCAAGUCGAACGGUCUUUCUAUGGAAGCUUGCUUCCACUGAGAAGAUAGUGGCGAACGGGUGAGUAACACGUGGGUAACCUGCCCAUAAGAGGGGGGAUAACAUCCGGAAACGGGUGCUAAUACCGCAUAGUUUUCUUGAUCGCAUGAUCGGGAAAGGAAAGACGGCCUUUGUGCUGUCGCUUAUGGAUGGACCCGCGGCGUAUUAGUUAGUUGGUGAGGUAACGGCUCACCAAGACGAUGAUACGUAGCCGACCUGAGAGGGUGAUCGGCCACAUUGGGACUGAGACACGGCCCAAACUCCUACGGGAGGCAGCAGUAGGGAAUCUUCCGCAAUGGACGAAAGUCUGACGGAGCAACGCCGCGUGAGUGAAGAAAGGUUUUCGGAUCGUAAAACUCUGUUGUCAGAGAAGAACAAGUUGGAGAGUAACUGCUCCAGCCUUGACGGUAUCUGACCAGAAAGCCACGGCUAACUACGUGCCAGCAGCGGC